ACCGGGUUUGUAUAAAAUAGAAAAAUGAAACCCUACCCAUUUAUUGCUUAAGUCUCCCAUCCCUCUAGGAACCCAUUCCGCGUACCUCUCUCUCUCUCUCUCUCUCUCUCUCUCUCUCUCCAAAGAAACCCUAGCCUCCCUCCCUCACGGCCGAUCAAAGAAAAGAUAGCCUCCCUUUCCUCACUCAAUGCUGAUCGAAGAAACCCUAGCCUCCCUCCCUUAGUGCCGAUUGAAGAAACCUCGUCAUCCUGUGACCCGUCGUCGACUCGUUGCCAUCCUCAUGACCUCAAGAUCCGUAAGCACCAAUAAUGCAAACCGGAGUCAACUCAUCACAUAGAGCAUCAAAACUUGACCCCGUAAGCAGAGGUGGAUAGCAAAUCAAAAUUUGACUAUUUUCACAAUGAUGGCAAAUCAAAGUCUUUUGGCGAUAAUGUAGUAAAUUAGUUCAUGUUUGUUGUUAUGUAUUGGAGUUUAAUAAAACAAUAUAUGUGUUUUGUAUUGUUCUAAGCAAAUUAGUUCAGACAAUGUAAUAUGUAAUGGAUUUUUUUAUUUUUUAUUUUUUUUUAUUUUUAUUUUUAUUUAUUUUUUACAUACUUUUAGUGAUA